AUGGCGCCUGCCCCAGUCACCCUGCUGGCCCCUGGGGCAGCAUCCUCAAUGUCUUGCAGCCAGCCCGGGCAGCGCUCGCCAUCGAAUGACUUCCAGGUGCUCCGGGGCACAGAGCUACAGCACCUGCUACAUGCGGUGGUGCCCGGGCCUUGGCAGGAGGAUGUGGCAGAUGCUGAAGAGUGUGCUGGUCGCUGUGGGCCCUUAAUGGACUGCUGGGCGUUCCACUACAAUGUGAGCAGCCAUGGUUGCCAACUGCUGCCAUGGACUCAACACUCGCCCCACUCAAGGCUGUGGCAUUCUGGGCGCUGUGACCUCUUCCAGGAGAAAGGCGAGUGGGGGUACAUGCCCACGCUCCGGAAUGGCCUGGAAGAGAACUUCUGCCGUAACCCUGAUGGCGACCCCGGAGGUCCUUGGUGCCACACAACAGACCCUGCCGUGCGCUUCCAGAGCUGCAGCAUCAAAUCCUGCCGGGUGGCCGCGUGUGUCUGGUGCAAUGGCGAGGAAUACCGCGGCGCGGUAGACCGCACCGAGUCAGGGCGCGAGUGCCAGCGCUGGGAUCUUCAGCACCCGCACCAGCACCCCUUCGAGCCGGGCAAGUUCCUCGACCAAGGUCUGGACGACAACUAUUGCCGGAAUCCUGACGGCUCCGAGCGGCCAUGGUGCUACACUACGGAUCCGCAGAUCGAGCGAGAGUUCUGUGACCUCCCCCGCUGCGGGUCCGAGGCACAGCCCCGCCAAGAGGCCACAAGUGUCAGCUGCUUCCGCGGGAAGGGUGAGGGCUACCGGGGCACAGCCAAUACCACCACCGCGGGCGUACCUUGCCAGCGUUGGGACGCGCAAAUCCCGCAUCAGCACCGAUUUACGCCAGAAAAAUACGCGUGCAAGUGAGGUGGGCGGGGGGGCGGGCGUUGGGACGUGCUGCUGCGGAGACCUUCGGGAGAACUUCUGCUGGAACCUCGACGGCUCAGAGGCGCCCUGGUGCUUCACACUGCGGCCCGGCACGCGCGUGGGCUUUUGCUACCAGAUCCGGCGUUGUACAGACGACGUGCGGCCCCAGGACUGCUACCACGGCGCGGGGGAGCAGUACCGCGGCACGGUCAGCAAGACCCGCAAGGGUGUCCAGUGCCAGCGCUGGUCCGCUGAGACGCCGCACAAGCUGCAGGCCCUAACCCUGGGGCGGCAUGCUUUGGUGUCUGGGACCAGAGCCUGGAAAUGGUUGAGACUACCCUGCCACGAUUUUGCUCCCGCUCCCGCCUCGGUUCACAUUUACCUCCGAACCGCAUGCACAACUGGAGGAGAACUUCUGCCAGACCCAGAUGGGGAUAGCCAUGGGCCCUGGUGCUACACGAUGGACCCAAGGACCCCAUUCGACUACUGUGCCCUGCGACGCUGCGACCAGGUGCAGUUUGAGAAGUGUGGCAAGAGGGUGGAUCGGCUGGAUCAGCGUCGUUCCAAGCUGCGCGUGGCUGGGGGCCAUCCGGGCAACUCACCCUGGACAGUCAGCUUGGGGAAUCGCCAUAUGCCUCUCACGGGCUAUGAGGUAUGGUUGGGCACCCUGUUCCAGAACCCACAACAUGGAGAGCCAGGCCUACAGCGGGUCCCAGUAGCCAAGAUGCUGUGUGGGCCCUCAGGCUCCCAGCUUGUCCUGCUCAAGCUGGAGAGAUCUGUGACCCUGAACCAGCGUGUGGCCCUGAUCUGCCUGCCGCCUGAAUGGUAUGUGGUGCCUCCAGGGACCAAGUGUGAGAUUGCAGGCUGGGGUGAGACCAAAGAUACGGGUAAUGACACAGUCCUAAAUGUGGCCUUGCUGAACGUCAUCUCCAACCAGGAGUGUAACAUCAAGCACCGAGGACAUGUGCGGGAGAGCGAGAUGUGCACUGAGGGACUGUUGGCCCCUGUGGGGGCCUGUGAGAGUGACUACGGGGGCCUACUUGCCUGCUUUACCCACAACUGCUGGGUCCUGAAAGGAAUUAGAAUCCCCAACCGAGUAUGCACAAGGUCGCGCUGGCCAGCCGUCUUCACGCGUGUCUCUGUGUUUGUGGACUGGAUUCACAAGGUCAUGAGACUGGGUUAGGCCCAGCCUUGACGCCAUAUGCUUUGGGGAGGACAAAACUUGUAAGUACAGUCAAGGACAAGACUUGUACUCAAGGUUGAGAUUUAAUAAAAUUAAUAUUUUUACUACUUCA